GGUGGCUUGGCGGAAUUGGUUAGACGCGUGGAGCUUUCAACUUCAUUGUCCUCGGACUUGCGGGUUCGAGCCCCGCAGCCAUCG
rnacentral:tRNA from 1 species